rnacentral:rRNA from 1 species
GGCAAUCUGCCCUGCACUCUGGGACAAGCCCUGGAAACGGGGUCUAAUACCGGAUACUGAUCGCCUUGGGCAUCCUUGGUGAUCGAAAGCUCCGGCGGUGCAGGAUGAGCCCGCGGCCUAUCAGCUUGUUGGUGAGGUAAUGGCUCACCAAGGCGACGACGGGUAGCCGGCCUGAGAGGGCGACCGGCCACACUGGGACUGAGACACGGCCCAGACUCCUACGGGAGGCAGCAGUGGGGAAUAUUGCACAAUGGGCGAAAGCCUGAUGCAGCGACGCCGCGUGAGGGAUGACGGCCUUCGGGUUGUAAACCUCUUUCAGCAGGGAAGAAGCGAAAGUGACGGUACCUGCAGAAGAAGCGCCGGCUAACUACGUGCCAGCAGCCGCGGUAAUACGUAGGGCGCGAGCGUUGUCCGGAAUUAUU